UCUUUCUUCUCCUUCGUCUUUUUUUCUCUGCUCUUUUUCUGCCGACGUUGAGAGAUGAGCGUUGAGAUUCGGUUUGAAAGAAUCAAUUGAUGUGGGUAUGCAGAUGUUGAAGGUGAUGGUGCUGCUGUGAAUUAGGUAGAGAACACUUAUGAAUCGAAUAUAUAAAUCAAGGGAAACCAAGUUAGGGUUUGUGGAUUGAGUUUAGGAUUCGUGUGGAAUUAGUUUGUGGACCGAGUUGUUGGUAGAUGAAGAUUAAGAGGGUUGUCGUUUAUUUACUGAGAUGAAGUAGUUUUGAAGAUGAAUUAAGAGUUAGGGUUUCUGAGAAAUCAAUUGGAGAUCGAUUAGGUGGUGAUUAAGAGAAGAAUUGAAGGUUGGGUUUGCAUUAAUUGAAGACCUGGAUCGAGAUUUUGAUCUCAGGUGAAGUAGAAGCUCAUGCAACCGUAAUUAGAAUUAGAGUUUUGUUUUGUAUUUGAGAUUAAGAAGUUAAUUAAGGAAUUAAGGUUUGAUUGAACUGUAAAUCGAAGAAGUAAAUAGAAUUAUUGGAUGGGUUUAGUCGAUUUGAGAACUUGAAUUAAUGAUUGAACAUAUUCAAGGAUUUGGGGAUUAUUUAGGGGCUUCAUCGUUGAUAUUCUUGGAAUUGUUCAGAGGAGGUAAUAUCAGUUAUGAUUCUCAAAUGAAGAGCUAGGGUUCAUGGAUUGAAAUUACAAGUGAAGAAGGUUCUAAGAUUUGUAUGAGGGUCUCUGUGAAUUUAAUUGCGAAUGAGAAUUAUGAAUAAUGAUGUUGGGGUAAGUGAACUGUAUUGGAGUUGAGAUGUUAUUAUUGUUGCCGAGGCUGUGGUGGUAUUGAUUUGAUAUUAGAUUCAUGUAUGGAAUUGUAGUUCAAACACGGAACUAGUGGUGAUAGUAAAUUAAGAAUGAAUGUACAGAUCUAGAGUUGGUGUUGUUAUUGUUUGUUAGAGUUUAAAUGUUGUUGUUGUGACAGUAAAGUCAUAAUUUCCAUGACUCAGAGAGGUUGAACAGAAUGGGUUGUGGUGGUUCUGGUAUUAUGGGUUAUUGGAGGUGGUUUGUUGAAGUGAGAUUACAGUUGUGGUUCAGGUUGGAUUGCAGUGUUGUCUGGAUUGAAGUUUAGAGAACUGAGAAUUAGAAGAGGUAUGAAAUGGUAUAACAAGAAUGAAAUGAAGUAGGGUUGCAGAGUGUGUAACUGUCGAGUGAUUGGUUGAGAUGAAUGUAGAAAGAAUGUUGCAGCUACUUCUUUUGCAGUGGAUCGUGGAUCUCGAGGUAGGCGUGGCUUGUCAUCAAAAGAGAUGGGAAUACUUUUAACUCUUUUGAAACCAUUGUUUGUUUCUUUUACAAAAGUUUAUGUUUAACAAACUCAUGGAUUGUAUUUUCGUGCUUUAAAUGCAUUGUUUAAUUUGUGUUAUGAUUGUUCUGUUGAUUCUUUGAAUCUUUCCAUGAAUUGGAAAGGGCUUGUAAUGUUUGUCGUCAUUAUGAA